CUACGUGCCAGCAGCCGCGGUAAUACGUAGGUGGCAAGCGUUGUCCGGAAUUAUUGGGCGUAAAGCGCGCGCAGGCGGAUCAGUUAGUCUGUCUUAAAAGUUCGGGGCUUAACCCCGUGAUGGGAUGGAAACUGCUGAUCUAGAGUAUCGGAGAGGAAAGUGGAAUUCCUAGUGUAGCGGUGAAAUGCGUAGAUAUUAGGAAGAACACCAGUGGCGAAGGCGACUUUCUGGACGAAAACUGACGCUGAGGCGCGAAAGCCAGGGGAGCGAACGGGAUUAGAUACCCCGGUAGUCCUGGCCGUAAACGAUGGGUACUAGGUGUAGGAGGUAUCGACCCCUUCUGUGCCGGAGUUAACGCAAUAAGUACCCCGCCUGGGGAGUACGACCGCAAGGUUGAAACUCAAAGGAAUUGACGGGGGCCCGCACAAGCGGUGGAGCAUGUGGUUUAAUUCGACGCAACGCGAGGAACCUUACCAGCGUUUGACAUC
rnacentral:rRNA from 1 species